rnacentral:rRNA from 1 species
GGCGAACGGGUGAGUAACACGUGAGUAACCUGCCUUUAACUCUGGGAUAAGCCCGGGAAACUGGGUCUAAUACCGGAUACGACCAAUCUCCGCAUGGGGUGUUGGUGGAAAGCGUUAUGUAGUGGUUAUAGAUGGGCUCACGGCCUACCAGCUUGUUGGUGAGGUAACGGCUCACCAAGGCGACGACGGGUAGCCGGCCUGAGAGGGUGACCGGCCACACUGGGACUGAGACACGGCCCAG